AGACCAUUGGACAUAGAGGUGAUGCCGGCCCGACCAACUGAGGAGACCACCCAGACAAGACGCGGUUGGUGGACACCAAAUUGCCUGAGAAGACAAAACAAGAGCAGCAGCAUCAGAAAGAGCAGCAGGAACAGACUAACAAGAUGCCUCAGAUUCUUCUGCUGCUGUAGUUAUGAUGACACCGGCG